AACGAACGCUGGCGGCAUGCCUAACACAUGCAAGUCGAACGAUCCCUUCGGGGAUAGUGGCGCACGGGUGCGUAACGCGUGGGAACCUGCCCUUAGGUUCGGAAUAACUCAGAGAAAUUUGAGCUAAUACCGGAUAAUUUCUUCGGACCAAAGAUUUAUCGCCUUUGGAUGGGCCCGCGUUCGAUUAGCUAGUUGGUGGGGUAAAGGCCUACCAAGGCGACGAUCCAUAGCUGGUCUGAGAGGAUGAUCAGCCACACUGGGACUGAGACACGGCCCAGACUACUACGGGAGGCAGCAGUGGGGAAUAUUGGACAAUGGGCGAAAGCCUGAUCAAGCAAUGCCGCGUGAGUGAUGAAGGCCUUAGGGUUGUAAAGCUCUUUUACCCGGGAUGAUAAUGACAGUACCGGGAGAAUAAGCCCCGGCUAACUCCGUG
rnacentral:rRNA from 1 species